CGCUUUCUUUGCUGGCGACCGGCGCACGGGUGAGUAACACGUAUCCAACCUGCCCUUUACUCGGGGAUAGCCUUUCGAAAGAAAGAUUAAUACCCGAUAGCAUAAUGAUUCCGCAUGGUUUCAUUAUUAAAGGAUUCCGGUAAAGGAUGGGGAUGCGUUCCAUUAGGUUGUUGGUGGGGUAACGGCCCACCAAGCCUUCGAUGGAUAGGGGUUCUGAGAGGAAGGUCCCCCACAUUGGAACUGAGACACGGUCCAA
rnacentral:rRNA from 1 species